rnacentral:rRNA from 1 species
AACGAACGCUGGCGGCAUGCCUAACACAUGCAAGUCGAACGAGACCUUCGGGUCUAGUGGCGCACGGGUGCGUAACGCGUGGGAACCUGCCCUUAGGUUCGGAAUAACUCCCCGAAAGGGGUGCUAAUACCGGAUAAUGUCUUCGGACCAAAGAUUUAUCGCCUUUGGAUGGGCCCGCGUUGGAUUAGCUAGUUGGUAGGGUAAAAGCCUACCAAGGCGACGAUCCAUAGCUGGUCUGAGAGGAUGAUCAGCCACACUGGGACUGGGACACGGCCCAGACUCCUACGGGAGGCAGGAGUGGGGAAUAUAGGACAAUGGGCGGAAGGCUGAUCCAGCAAUGCCGCGUGAGUGAUGAAGGCCUUAGAGUUGUAAAGCUCUUUUACCCGGGAUGAUAAUGACAGUACCGGGAGAAUAAGCUCCGGCUAACUCCGUG